rnacentral:rRNA from 1 species
UACGAAGGGGGCGAGCGUUGUUCGGAUUUACUGGGCGUAAAGGGCGCGCAGGCGGUUCUGUUUGUCGAGUGUGAAAGCCCCGGGCUUAACCUGGGAACGGCGCUCGAAACGGCGGGACUAGAGAUCGGGAGAGGAGCGUGGAAUUCCCAGUGUAGAGGUGAAAUUCGUAGAUAUUGGGAAGAACACCGGUGGCGAAGGCGGCGCUCUGGACCGACACUGACGCUGAGGCGCGAAAGCGUGGGGAGCAAACAGG